UUUCGAAUCAUUCACAAUGGGCGAAAGCCUGAUGGUGCGACGCCGCGUGGGGGACGAAGGUCUUCGGAUUGUAAACCCCUGUCACCGGGGAAGAAACGCUACUUUUUAACAGAACGUAGCCUGACUUAACCCGGAGAGGAAGCAGUGGCUAACUCUGUGCCAGCAGCCGCGGUAAUACAGAGACUGCAAGCGUUAUUCGGAUUCACUGGGCGUAAAGGGUGCGCAGGCGGCCGUGUGUGUCAGAUGUGAAAGCCCGGGGCUUAACCCCGGAAUUGCGUCUGAAACUACAUGGCUAGAGCAUUGGAGAGGGUAGCAGAAUUCACGGUGUAGCAGUGAAAUGCGUAGAUAUCGUGAGGAAUACCAGAGGCGAAGGCGGCUACCUGGACAAUUGCUGACGCUCAGGCACGAAAGCGUGGGGAGCAAAAG
rnacentral:rRNA from 1 species